rnacentral:rRNA from 1 species
AAAUUGAAGAGUUUGAUCAUGGCUCAGAUUGAACGCUGGCGGCAGGCCUAACACAUGCAAGUCGAACGGUAGCACAGAGAGCUUGCUCUCGGGUGACGAGUGGCGGACGGGUGAGUAAUGUCUGGGAAACUGCCUGAUGGAGGGGGAUAACUACUGGAAACGGUGGCUAAUACCGCAUAACGUCGCAAGACCAAAGAGGGGGACCUUCGGGCCUCUUGCCAUCAGAUGUGCCCAGAUGGGAUUAGCUA